UUUUAGACGCGGGCAAUCGCGGUAUGGAAAAUUUUUUUCCGUAUUGAGGAAAGUCCGGACUGCACAGAGCGGGGAGCCCCUUUGAAAAGAGGGGUGCCGCAGACGAUAUUCUGCGGAAAGACCAGUGCAACAGAGAGCAGACCGCCGGUUGUUUUCAACCGGUAAGGGUGAAAGGGUGGGGUAAGAGCCCACCGGGCGGUAAUGAGAGUUCCGCCGCAUGGUAAACUCCUCCCGCAGCAAGACCAAAUAGGGGACGAGCCGUUGCUCGCGGCGUUACGAGUCCCGGGUUCUGGUCGCAUAAGACAGAUGAUUGCCGCCGUUGCGAAACGGUACGGAAUCCGGCUUACAGCGUCUGGAAUGUU
rnacentral:RNase_P_RNA from 1 species